ensembl:lncRNA
CCUGGGUCUCCUGCAUUUGCAGACAGAUUUUUUACUAUCUGAGCAACCAGCCUCUCCUUAAAUACUUGGGGUAGAUCAGUGACCUUUCAAACUUCUUUGACCUUGAUCCAUAUCAAGAAACAUCAUGUUUUAUCUUGUGCCAGAAUGCACAUCCAUCUAUAUGCAAAGAAAGAAAGAGGAAGAGAGAAAGAAAAUUUGGUGAAAAGCCCCUCCCCACAGCUUGUAGCGGGUGGGGAGUGUGACCCCAGGCAGUCCUCUGAGGCCAGCUUGGUGAGAUGUAAAAUACACAGAAGUGAGGAAUCCCUGGUGACUUGGUGGUUAGGACUUUCUGCUUUCACUGCUGUGGCCUGGGUUCAGUCCUUGGUCUGGGAACUAUGAUCCAGCAAGCAGCUUGGCCCCAAAAUAACUACAUAAGUAAAGUAAAAUGCAUAGAGGUGAGCCCAGCUAUUCUAUAAGCUCCUGUCCAAUAAGGUUUAUUACACAAACACAAAUUAAGAUACAUCUGCCUUUCCAUGUGGUGCUAGUGGUAAAAAAAACCCUCCUGCCAAUGCAGGAGACAUAAGAGAUGAGGGUUUGAUCCCGGGGUUCGGAAGAUCCCCUGGAGGAGGGCAUGGUGACCCACUCCAGUAUUUUUGCCUGGAGAAUCCCAUGGACAGAGGAGCCUGGCGGGCUGUAGUCCAUGGAGUCACAAAGAAUUGAAUAGUACUGAAGCAACUUAGCAGGCAUACAAUGAAUGCUAUACCUUGUAAAUAUCUUUAAAAUAGAAUUAAAUUAUACUUACUAAUGUGAAAGAUGUUCUUUAAAAAGCUGAACACAAGCUGAACAGUAAUAUAUAUUACCAUUUCUGAAAUAUAAUAGUUAUGUUGACACAGUGAUAAACUAUGAAUAUCAAUGAUUUUUUUAUACUAAAGUUUUCAAUACUGAUUUUUUCUGGGUAAUAGGUGAAUGCUGAUUUUACUUUUUUACAUCUUUCUUUUGUUACAAAGAUUAUGACUUAUGUGGUUUUAGGACAGUGGUGUGAUGGGCGAUGACGCGUAAUAAGAUGGUGAGACAGCAGGAAACUUUAAGGGAAUGGGCAGACUGACCCUAGAGGAACUCAUGCACUGCAGACGGUGUAAGCAGACAGAAUAUUUUCCUAAAGAAGUGUCUACUGAUAUUUACUCAUAUUUAGUACUGAGUUUCUCGAGAACCUACCGUCCAUUAGCCCCAGUUUCGGGGAGGAAGCCCUGAAGGGGAGAAGGGGUAUGGGUGGGGAGAACAGACCAGUUUGCACAGCAUCCCUGGUGGCCAGGCAGUGAUGAGGCAGUCCACGCAGGCGCGAAGGAGCCGUGCCCCCAGGACCCUCAGUGGUGGAUUUCACUGUGUAGGCCAAGGUGAAUCUUGUGGAAAGUCUCUGUGGGAAACCGUUUUUUCCCCAUCACAAUCACUUUCUUGGCUAGACUCUUCUGUAACAAAGUAUUGGUGUGUUACCAAAAAAUGUAGAGACACAGAGAUACUCAGUAAUGGCUGUGUCCUCUGAAUAGGUGAGUGUCAUCCUCUGAAUAGGUGGAUGAUUAACAAGGGGAGGAACAGGGACUUCUGCGGAGACUAACUGGGGGCUAGAAAGUAGUAUCUAUUGCCUUUGUACAUGACCUAAGACUCGUUUGUAGUCACCAGCGAGCAGAUACUUGGUCACUCCCCUGGGAGGUGAUGACCUUCUCCAGACAUUUAUCUGACUCUUCCUGAUGAGGCAACACUGCUGAGGGGAAAAAGGAGUUGAGUUCUAAGUUUCUGUAGGGUUAUCAGUAUUUUCCAUUUGACUUAAAUGCAGAUUUAAGUUGGGAUUUCCCUGCAGUCCAGUGGUCAGGAUCUGGGCUCUCAGUGCAGGAGGCAUGGGCUCAAUUCCUUGGUGAGGAGCUAAGAUUCCCAAAGCGUGCCAAUAAAUAAGUAAAUAAACAAAUGGAGACUGCUGUACAGCAUCGGCUUGGUGUUGGCCUUGUUCUUACCAUAUACAAAUUAGUGUGUUUAAAAACAUCACCGUGCAUGUAAGAAUUAAAGAUUUUAAAAUUUAAAAAAUAAAAAAAAAUAAAAAUGAAAAAACAAAACAAACAAAAAAAAAAACAUCACCGUAACCAGGAAUGGCAACAGUUGGACAAAACGGGAUAAUUGGGCAAUUCUGCAAGGAAUGCCUUUGCAUAAUCAGACAUGGCCUGUUGAAUACAUGCUGUGUUCAGUGCCUGCUGCAUGCUAAGUUGCAUCAGUCAUGUCCAACGUGUCCAACUCUUUGCAACCUUAUGGACUGCAGCCCCUGAGGGAUUAUUAGUUUUAACCUUGAGAAGAGAUAGUGUAAUGUGGUGGAAAGAAGAUAGUCUUCCAGCUGACACAAAUCAGAAGACAGGUGAACUUCUGAUCUGCCUGGGGCACCAGGAAUCACCAGAGGCUACGGGGUGAGCUUGGUGUUCUUGGCAUUCAAAGAUGCCCUCAGGAGUGGGACAUGGGGCCAUAGCCUGGCUCUCAGAGCGAGAUUGUUUUUGCCCUAGACAGGUGAACACAGCACUCUGCAAACAGGACAGGACUCUUGGUAACAGUGAGGGUACGAUGCUUGGUCAUGUAGGGUUGGGGGAGAAGGAAUUUACCACUUGAAGACCUUAGAGAAAGGCAUCCUUAAAUAAUGAGAGACUUUAUCAUCCGAGGAGUGAUGGACCAAUACAAUAGUGGAUGUGUUCCCUGCUUCAGAAAAGUUGCUAAUACACGGUUUAUGGUCAUCAGGAUAAUUAAACACGCACCCCAAGAGUUGGCUUUUGUCUCUCUGGACCAUGUUGACUUUUCCAACUGUUUCAACUUUAAUGCAUGGCAAGUGUACAUAAAAAACAAUAUUCAACAGUUCAGUUACAUAACUGUCUACAUACCUUUUAUUUUAUGGUUUUCAAUUAUUUUAAAAGUUUUAAAUAAGUGAAGAUAACCACUAAAUGAGAAAUUAAUGGUCAUUUUCCAUAAAUUCCUUUAUCUGUGGAUAACCUUUCAAAUUUUUAAUAGAAAAAAUUUCUGAGCAGUUUGGUAAAUGACUUGAAUGUUACCUUAUUGCUAUAGUUCUAUCUUCAGCUAAGGGUAUGCUGCACAGCCCCAUUUAACAAAUGACUCAUCCCCUCUGGUGUCAGCCACUGGACUCUGGACAUCACCUGUCUACCUUGGUGUCCAACAUGAAAAUCAGACUCUCAGAAGAGAAAGAUAUCUUGGCUGUGUUUCUCGAACAUAGGCCUUAUCAAGCAGUCACUUUCUCUUGAGCACUGGGUCUCAAAAGUUAGCGUCUGUCCCAGUGAUUCUAACAGUGGUAAAGGAGGUCACAUUGUGAGAAGCACUGUGACAGGUAUAUUUCUGUUGGCCAACGUGGCCCAUUUCAUUUUUGUCCAGCUGUGGAUAUUCAACAGCUUUUUUUGUCUUGUACUGUUCUGCUUGUUGGUUCUAGUUCUACACUGUUUCUGCACAGUUGAAGCCAGCCGCUGUUGGACUGACUAUCCAACCAUUGUGGCUGUAAGUAUGGAAUGUGUAGGGACAUAAUUGUUGUACUGUCCACCCAGCACUAUUACUUCACCUCUCUUCUAACAGAGCCCAGAUUAUGUCAAGAUCCAGCUUUUCCAUGGAAGUUUCUGCAGAAGUUUUCCAUAUCCCCAUCUAUAUAAACUGGCUCUGAUUGGUCAAAUGCUACUAUUCUUACCAGUGAUUGGUUCAUGAGUGGUGUACUUUGGGUUGAAUGGUAAUCGGUGAAAAAAGUGAUGCUCCAUAGAUGGUCCUAAGCUACAAAUAGAAAAGGUGUAGGAGAGAGAGGAGAGAAGAAAAGUCAGACCUGGACAAAAGAUAAAGAAAUACAACACAAUAUGUGAAAGUCAGGAACCUGGAAAUUGGAAGGGAGAUAGUGUAAGUUAUUCUGAUCAAUAAUUUGUGAUCUGUACUGUGUGUGGUUGUCUGCUCUGUGUUUGUCCUAGUCGCACAGACCAGUGUGGAAUUAAUGCUGAUAACUGGGCUUCUGUAAUCACAGUGGAUUUUUUUAAAUGUAUAUUUAUUGGGAGAAAAGUUAUGACAAACCUAGAUAGUGAUUAAGAAGCAGAGGCAUCACUUGGCUGACAAAGGUCCAUAUAGUCAAAGCCAUGGUUUAUCCAGUAGUCACAUAUGAAUGUGAGUUGGACCAUAAAGAAGAUUGAUCACCCAAGAAUUGACACUUUUGAAUUGUAGUGCUAGAGAAGACUCUUGAGAGUCCCUUGGACAACAAGGAGAUCAAACCAGUCAAUCCUAAAGGAAAUCAACCCAGAAAUUCAUUGGAAGGACUGAUGCUGAAGCUCUAAUACUUUGGCCACCUGAUUCGAAGGACCGACUCAUUGGAAAAGACCCUGAUGCUGAGAAAGAUUGAGGGAAGGAGGAGAAGGGGGUGACAGAGAUGAGAUGGUUGGAUGGCAUCACCGACUCAAUGGACAUGAGUUUGAGCAAACUUCAGGAGAUAGUGAAGGACAGAGAAGCCUGGCGUGCUGCAGCUCAUGGGGUCGCAAAGAGUCGGCCACGACUGCACGACUGAACAGCAGCACAUUUAUUGAGUAUUGUGUGUCAGGCAUUGUGGUGGGUUCUUGGGGGAAACAUAAACCUUAAUAAGUGUGAACUUCCUGUCCUAAAGAGUUUAUUGUGUUCUAGUCUGUCUGGGCUGUUCACACACCAGAGGCUGACAAAUUAAUUUGCUGUGGUCAUGGGUGGGACAGUCACCUUGCUCAGGAAAUCCCUAGGCAUCUGAAUCAGUGCACAGAAACCAAGAGUUCUGGUAAAGAAGGAAGGCAGUGUGUGAAGUGGUUAGAGCACAGUAUAUGAAAUUAAUCACAUUUGGGCUCAAAUUCCAGGUCUGUCUCUUCCUAGGCAUAAGAUGCUGGUUUUGCUGACCUCAGAUUUAAACCUCAGAGGCUGGUUGCGGGGAUUCCAGGAUGUAAUAGGUUCAGAACUAAACUAUGUUUGAAGCACAUAGCCAAUGGUAGUCAUUGUUAUGAACAAAAGAAAGUUGCUUAGGAUUGUUACUACCAAAAAAAUCAAACUGAUAGGAAGAAACCCCAGAAAAUAAUAAAUGUUGGUGAGGAUAUAGAGAAAUUGGAAUCUUUCUGCACUGGUGUUGGGACUGUAGUGCAGACCCUUUGGAAAACAGUAUGGCAGUUACUCCCAAAAUUAAACACAGAAUUACCUUUCAAUUCAGCAGUUCCACUUGUCUGUAUAGACCCCCCAAAAUUGAAAGUGGGUCUCCAAGAGAUAUUUGUAUGCCCACAUUCUAGCAGCAUUAUUCACAAUAGCCAGGGGGUAGAAGCAACUCAAGUCUCCAUCAACAAGUGAAUGGAUAAACAAAAUAUGGUGUAUACAUACAAGGGAAUAUCAUACAACCUUGAAAAGGAAGGAGACUCUGAUGCAGGCUACAACACGGAUGUAUCUUGAGAACAGUAUGUUAAGAGGAAUAAAAGGACAAAUAUUGUAUGAUUCCAUCUAUGAGGUCCUUUUGCUGUUGUUCAUUUGCUAAAGUCCUGUCUAACUUUUUACGACCCCAUGAGUUGCAGCUUGCUGGGCUUCUGUGUCCUUCACUAUCUCCUGGAGUUUGCUCAGACUCAUGUCUGAUGAGAUGGUUGGAUGACAUCACCGAUUCAAUGGACAUGGGUUUGGGUGAACUCUGGGGGUUGGUAAUGGACAGGGAGGCCUGGCGUGCUGCGGUUCAUGGGGUCGCAAAGAGUCGGACACGACUGAGCGACUGAACUGAACUGAUUUCCUUUAGGAUUGACUGGUUUGGUUAGAAAUCUAAUUCAUAGAGACAGGAAAUAGAAUGGUGUUUGCCAGGGGCGGGGGAAGUAGAAAAGAAGUUGUUUGAUGGACCUGGAAUCUCAGCGUUGUAAGAUGAAAAGAGUUCUAGAGAUGCAUGAUAACGGUCACACAAGACUACGUAGGCACUUAUUUGUACAGUUAAGGAUGCUAAGAUGUUAAUUUUGUUAUGUGUGUUUUAAUACAUUGUUAAAAAGUUGUUGAACUUCUCUGGGGAUCCAAUGGUUAAGACUCUGCCUUCCAAUGCAGAGUGUGGGUUUGACCUUGGUCAGGGAGCUGAGGUCCCACAUGACUCAUGGCCCUAAAACCAAAACAUUAAAAAAAAAAAAGCAAUAAAAAGACUAAACAAAGAGUCAGUAUUCAAUAAAAAGACUUUUAAAAAUAAAAAAAAAUUUUUAAGUUAACUUGGUAAUCAGAAAAGUAAAAGUUGCUCAGUUGUGCCCAACUUUUUACAACCACAUAGACUGUAGCCCACCAGGCUCCUAUGUCCAUGGAAUUCUCCAGGCAAGAAUACUGGAGUGAGUAGCUGUUUCCUUCUCCAGGGGAUCUUUCCAGCACAGGGGCUGAACCCAUGUCUCCUGUGUUGGAGGCAGAUUCUUUACUGUCUGAACCACCAGGGAAGCCCCUGGUAAGCAGAACUGUGUACAAAUAUUAAUAGAUGAGGGUGGUCUGGAAACAAGUUAGAAGCUUAUAAGCAUGGGCUUCUCUGGUGACUCAGCUGGUAAAGAAUCUGCCUGCAACGCAGGAGACCUGGGUUCGAUCCCUGGAAAAGGGGAUGGCUACCCAUUCCAAUAUUCUAGCCUGGAGAAUUCCGUGGACAGAGGAGCCUAGCAGGCUACAGUCCAUUGUUUCCCAAGAGUUGGACAUAGCUCAGCGACUAACACACACAAGGACAAGCUAAGCGACUUUCUUUCAGGGCCUUUUAGAAAAGGUGAAAUGGAUGGCUCUAAAAGGCAAUUUCUAAUUUGAUAGUUAUGUUAUUUCUAGCCACAGACCCUCAAUUCCAAAUUACAUAACAGGAAAGAAUAUUUUCAGUGGAUUUCUUAAUACAUGUGAAGAGGUUUUUUUUAAAAAAAACUUUCCCAGCGUAGAGUUGUUUUUUGUUUGUUUUUUUUUGUUUUUUUUUUUUUUUUUUUCUUUUAAGGUAAGUAUAAUGUAUAUGGAGCAAAAUACCAAAACACA